ACUGAUGUAUUCAACGAGUCUAUAGCCUUGGCCGACAUGCCCGGGUAAUCUUUGAAAUUUCAUCGUGAUGGGGAUAGAUCAUUGCAAUUAUUGGUCUUCAAC
rnacentral:ncRNA from 1 species